GGGUAGAAAUAUAGACUCGUUUAGGUUGGAAAAGGCCUCUAAGAUCAUCAAGUCCAACCAUUAACCCAGCACUGCGAAGUCCACCACUAAACCUGAAGAUGUCUAGUAAAAGCUGAAAGGUUUGAAAUGCCAGUUGACGUGAAAAUUUUAGCUGUUUCAUUUGUGCUUCUUGUGUCUUGCUGAGCUAGGUUCGUUCAUGCUUAAACAGAGUUUUGGAUUAACUGGAUUAACAGGAACAACCUGUGUGUCACUGUUUGGGAUAAAUACAGUGGAUUUCUUUUUUGGGGGCUGCAGAAAAAAAAAAAAAAGACAUAUUGGCCCUUCCAGCCACAUGCAGGAGAGAGUUGUGGAUUUCAGAGCAGAAAGCCUUUCUGUCAAUGAGCUCCUGAAGUAGGGAGGGUGCUCUUUGCUAUCUGGCAUCAAACAUGUUUUGAAAGUGUUGUUUGCUCAUUGUCAUUGGUGCCAGCCCAGAUCUCUGUUUGCCAGUGCUGGUGGUUUGGCAUCACUGAUCUAGAGUGAGAUCAAACAAGGGGGAAUAUGGAGCCAGAGCCUCGGUUUAUUUACCCUAGUGUGAGUGAAUGGAGAGAUGCCAAUGUUAAAUGUAGUUCUUCUCCUGAAGGUGAAGUCCAGGGUUACAAGUCAGUUUCUUUUGGGUUUCCUUCAUGGUUGAAAUUUGUUAACAAAACUUGAUUACUACCAUGUGCUGCCAACGGCAAACGACCUUCAUCCCAGCAUUCUUCCGUGGUGAGCUUUGCCUGGAAUUGGAGAAAAAGAAAAACUGAAAUGAACAGCUCACUGUGACUGUGCAGCUUGAGUCACUUGAACCACAUCAGAUGACAAACUAUUCUUAGUGGUUCUUCCAUGCAGUCAACUUAUCUUCCAACAAGGAAAGAAACCCUUUUUCUCAGGUGCAUGCUUCACCUUUCACCAGGAGAUUUGCUUGGCCUCUUUUGCUCCUCUGAUGCACUUGUUCCCUCAUGUUUUUCAUGUAUUCUCUGUUCCAGUAAAAGUGCUGGAUCUCACAGAAUGGAGACAGUUAGGCAAACAAGGUAAUCACUGAGGCUUUUAUCAGGCAGUUCCUCAAAAUUAAACUGAGCAACAUUUAUCUGGGAAAACAUAGCAUUGCUCUGCCUGGCGAAUUUCCAUUACUCUUGCAUAAUGUGGGUACAUUUGGCAUAGGCAUACCAUGAGGUUCAAGUCUCGGGAAAGGAUGCCAAGUAGUCACAUCUGCUGGCUUGGGUGCCAGAGCAAACACUCCACAUUGCCUGAGUCAGGGCUUAUGCUUCUUUUGGAGUUCAGAAGACUAGUGGAGGGAAAAUUGUCUGUGUAAAGGAAUUUCAGCUGAAUGUUUAUAUAGCUCUCAAAUUUCUUUGAGCUGCUCUGAGGUCUCAGCACUGAUUAUCACCCAGAUAACUGUUCCCCCAACACCAGGAUGGCUCGUUCAAGAUCAGUGAGACAAUAUACUGGGAAAGCACUAGGCUGAUAAUUUAAUGUGGCUUUUAUGAGAAAAAGAUGUGGAAUUCUGUGUUGUAUCACUUGCAAGAUCCCACCUAUUUCUGUGUCAUGGUGCAUGCAAAUGAUUCCUCAGACAUCCAAAGAAGUUAAGUUUCCUCAUAAUCCCAAGAAUACUGCCCUAGUGGGAUGAAAUGCUCUCAUUCACAACUGCCUUGUUAAGCUCAUGUAUACUCAUAUCCCAAGGAAAACUAUCCUUUAUUUUUCUUCUUCCUUGGGAACAAGAAUCUGAGACAACAAAUCAUUCAUCGAUUAAAUCCCCUGUUUGAUUUCAUAACUCCUGGGGAAUGGCUUGCCUUGCAGAUAGUAUCAACAUGUGGGGACUCACAUAUCUCCUGACUACUGUUUAAUGUAUAAAUGUAAUUACACAGUUCAGUAUGAUAAACUCGGUACAGACAGUUGACAUUGAGAAAGCAGCUAAACUGUUGUUUUCUUUGCCAGUGGGAGUAAAAGAUACACAGUGAGAUGGUUUAGAAGGUCAAUACAGAAGUGGAUACCUCUCCUGUGCCAACAGCAACAACACAAAAAAUGUUCAGGUGUAAGGCUGGAGGCAAGUUAAGUUUGGGGAAGUUGUCACAGUCCAAAACUAAGAUUCCCACAACUAUCUCAAGGCACAUGUAUCAGGUAUUACUUUUAAGUCACUCAGAGCAGUUGAAUUUCUGUAAGCCCUCUGAAAACAUAACCAGCUGUAGCAGAGAUACCAGAUUGGUACUACCCAACAUCACUUCAUUAUAGCAGGGCUGCCUUAAGAUGAUAAUUUUACUGUAUCACAAGCAGCAACAUGAUAUCAUAGAUUUUGACGGGGUGAGUCCAGGAACAUUUAAGAUUUUUUUUUUCCUCAGGAGAAUUUCCCUGGAAUAUUUUAUGGAUAUUAAGCUGCAGUGUUACUUCUUCAAACCUAUUUCUGCAACAUUUCCUUUAUCAGUUAAAGGCAUGGGUGUUCAUGAAACAUAAGUUUCAGAAUGGCAAGCACACAUUUUUCUUAAACAGCCUGAAAUAGGUAUGUCCAAGUGUUCCUAGCAAAAAUGGCUGAGUAGCCUUGGAACUUAAAAUGGACAGUGCCACAGAGUCAGUCAUACCUAAGAACUUCUGUGUGAGCUGGAUUUAACACUCAGAGUACAUUUUGGAGGUGACACAUGGGGUUUGUGUCUCAUUCAAAAGUAAUAAUUAAUUAAUUCAGAUGUUUGAUGGUAGAUAUUACUAGAAGGAGGUGUUGACUCCAUCCAUGUGAUACAUUAUUUGCUGCAAGCAAUUUAUUGCAUGUAAGACAUUAUUCUUCACUUCAAAAAGGAAGUCAGCAAGUAUCUUCUGUGGGAUAUACUUUAUUAGGACUCUCUUCAGUGGAGAUCAGCAAAGAUCUCUGAUAGACAGGGGCAUUUGCCUGUUGUUUUAUUCAGGCUUUGUCUGAACUAGAAAAGGGGACAGACAUGGUCAGUGCUUAGAGGCAGAUGCAGCCCAGUCUUGGUGGGUGGGAGGAGGAACAAUGAAGGUCUUAUCACGGCCAGCUCAGCUGCGCUUGCAGCUCUAAGCAGAGCUAAUGGAGCAGGCUGUUUUACUUUUCGGAAUUUCUGUGCUUAUUUCUGAGUAAACAGGUCUGUGGAUGUUGCCCGGAGUCUUCUCUGUUUGGCUGACUUCUUCUAAAACUCUAGAAUGUGGAGAAUGUGCUGGAUGUGAAGCACUGGGAGCUUCCUACUGAAUCAAAAUACAUGCUUUUUAAUACACUGCUGAAAUACAUCUCUGAAUAAACUGUUUAAAGUAAAGUAGCCCCCAGUAGCCAAGUUAAGUCUGCAGUGAGUUCAGACCAAGCUGCUCAGGGCUUCAUCUGGUUGGGUCUUCAAAACUUGUAAAUUUGGAUGCUGCACAACCUCUUCAAUUUCAUGGGGAAAGGACACUUGCAAUAGUUCAGUUUGUGACCAUUGAAGGUAGGAGCUCUACAUACCUUCAGCCAGGAUACUACCUCUCGGAUGCAACACCUCUUCCUCACAGCUGUGGAGUUUCCUCUUCGUUAUUGAGCCUGUAGAUUGUCAAGAUGGUUUGUCACAGGGAACAGAUUCAGUAGAGCAGGGUAGAGAUGCAAAGGGAAUUCUGGACAGUUUUAGCAUCAAAAUAUUAAAUAUUAAAGCUGCACCACUGAAUUGUGCCACCACAUCUCUGGACAGCUGAGCCUAGUAAUACAACUGCCUAUGUCAUGAUUUUAAAAGUCUCUAGAUGUUAGCAUGAGGUAUUGUGGACUGCAUUUAGAAACCUGGAGUUUUCUGUUCACUCUAACAAUGUUCCACCUUUCCCAUGUCCUGCAGAAACCUUGCAAAUCUCCACACUUGCAAAUCAUAUUUAAAAUCAAACUCUUUUGUUGUAAUCCAGCAACAGUGAAGGUAUUUUUGUAUUUACUGUGUUUCAUUUCACUAAAUAGGAUUUAAGCUAUUUUUCAUAUUCAGAAUUGCAACAAGUGGUCUACCAGACAGAAGCCAUUUAUGGUAGGAUUAUUUUAUGACAUGGAUAGUUGUGGAGAAUGGGCAAACACAAUCCACCUGCAAAGCCCCAUUCUCAGAAUAAUCUUGCAAUAAGAUACAUUAUAAAAGAGUAGUCCUAAAAGAAAAAGCCCUGGCAUGGACAGUUCCUCAAUAAUUUCUCUGCAUCAGCUUCCCGAGUAUGAAAUGCCAUCAUGACUGAGCAUAGGCAAGUGAGUGAUUUAUAAAUAAAAUUAAGCCUGCAACAGCUAAAGAUCUACACUAGACUGGAGAGUUUGUUUGCUGAAUUACUAUGCAAAUUUAACAAUUAAAUCUUCUUUCAGCUCCUAAGGGAAUGAGGGGGAUUACUAAAGAGAAGGAAUUUGACACGAUUGAAAAAAACAGAUGAAAAUGGAAGGAUUCCCUGCAGUUGAUCAGUUCUGCCCUGCACAGCAGGAAUCACACGGUUAGUAAGAGUUACUACAGAGAUUUCCAGAAAGAUUUGUACAAAGUAGAAGAAAUACAAUGAGGAAAUAUAAAACCUCCACUGUGUAAGUCAACUUUUAUUUGUCUUUUUGCAAAACUGAACUAUGAAUUUAUCUUGAAUGUCUUGAGUGAACUCCACACUUCAUGCUUCUGUAUCCAACCAACUCAAAAUAACCAAAUAACUUCAGAAAAGGAAAAAAUAAGUCAACUAAGAAACAACAACUCUCUUUGGUUUGACUGAUCUGAGCCUUUUAAAAUUUAUUUAUUUAUUUAUUUAUUUAUUUAUUUUCAUUAUCCCUGCUUCCUGAGCUUGGUAGUUAGAACAAGAGACUUCUGUUUUGACAGCCUGUCUCCUGGGUUCCCCACUGAAAAGGCCAAAGCUCCCAGUGAAGCAGCAGUAGCUGCCUUUAAACAGGAGACAAGCACUUCUUGCUUUCCUGUGCUGCAUGCAAAUAGAGAGGCUCAGUGUUACCCGGCUCUGCCAAGCUUCCCCCUAAUGUGCCUUCUGCAUGGCAAUGGCCGGUACAAGUGAUCAUCCAGCAUCGUGUCUUUGAGCCUGUUAAUGUCUCUGACCCCGGUCCACUGAUCACCCGCUUCGGCAGGGGACUCGUCAUCUGUACAAACAGCGUUUACAGAGCCUGCAGCCUCCUGGCUGUACGUGACAGAGAGCACUGCUUUAUGCUCUGGCUGUUCAGCAGAGCUCAGAAGGGCAGCUGCCCCUUCCAUGCUUGUAAGUAACACUUCCAUGACAACACCUUCAGCUCAUUAGUUUUGUUUAUUUCUUUCUAGAAUGGCAGUAUAUUUUCUAGAGUUUUUUUAAGUGCACUAAAGAAUGGGCCAUCAUAUCUGUUACUAAGCUACCCACGGGGUAAUUCAGAAGAAGGCUGGAGGUUUUAAAAACAGAGAAGAGAUGAUCACACUGCAGAAACUAUAUUUAAUCCUUCAACCCCCACCUCACCACCUGAUCCUCUGCUGCAAUGCCAGUACCAGAGCCCAAUACAUACAUUCAUAGUCACACGUGCAUGAAAGUGUGUUUAAUAAAAUGAGAAACUCUAAACUCCAAAUUGAUAAUACCUCAAGGAAAGGUAGUCAAGAUGCUGCCCUCUUCUACCUUGCUGUUCAUUUAUUUCUUUGAUGAGGGAAAAAGUGAUGCUGCCUUCCCUUUGCCAAGUAGCCAGUCAGCCCCAGAAGAGUUAAAAGAGCGGUGGACUUUUAUGGGAGUGGAAAGCCUAUGGGUUAUCAGGGUGUUUGUGAAGGUGAUCUUUGAGUUGACAUGUGUAGCGGUUUUCCUAGGGCCACACAGCAGCUCUGGCACAGGCACCAGUCACAUCUCAGUUUUAACCUGGCUGUGUCCCCCAGCCACGGACUUGAAACUGUAAAAUCUGUGCCAGUAUGAGAUAUCAGUGCCACAGAUUGGGGAAAAAACUAAUGGUCCGUUGGCACCAUGAAACAUGCCCUAAAUUUGCACCCAAGAAGCAAAGAAAAGACAGAUACAGAAACAUGUGAAAUCUCCAUUUAGUCAUAUCAAAAUCCUUUGCUAAUUGCCCUUGGGAGAAAAAAAAAAAAGAAAAGCAUUCUAUAUAAAAGCUUAUUUUCCUCCCUAAACUCCACAGAAUCUGGUCAAGCUCCAAAUCUCUAUCCAAAAAUUUUUGAUAGAUUUCACAACACAAAUAUUUCAAGGCACUCUUGUGUGGAAGACCAUGUGUGUGCAGUGGAUAUUCCCAUAUUUUUGUUCUGAAUGGCCCUUUUUUGCUCCUCCUGUAAAGACUGCACCUUAACAGGAGCGUGUAGGCAGAGAUUAGGAACAGCAACAAAACUGGUUUUCUAUUUUUUUUCCCUACACAUACCUACCCACAGCGAAUACUGUUAACUAUCAUUGCUGCUGUGAGCUGUGCACAUGAACAGCAGCUAGGUAGAUACAGCAGGCCAGGAAUAAGGGUUCAAAGACAAAUACACAAAAGACAAAUACAGUAGGAUUGGUGCAGGGGUGAAAGAGGACAGAGGCAGCAGUGCCCCUCAGCUGGCCUGCAGAUAAGGGAAGGGAAAGGGAAAGGGACUGUACUGCUCUGUCAAAAGAUACUGAGAGCAGAAGGGGGAGAGAAAAUGAGGCACUGACCACUGGUUAAAAAACCACAGAGAAGAGAAAAUGUCACCUUCAGGGAGGAGGUGGAGCAUUCUGUAAAUGCUGAUUCAGAUAUAGUCUGAACCAGGGCAGAGAGAUAUUGAAAUGAAAAGGCUUCUGUUUGCUUUAAAAAAUUGCUGUGCAAUGACUAUCUACUUGGGUCUCUGCCACUUUCUUCCCAGCAUUUUCUCCCUCCUAUAACCUGGCUUGUCUUAUUUGCAGGGGCAGUUUGGCUUACAAGCUGUUCUCUGCCAGCUCACCUGCUAUCAGAGCCAGCUUUCACGGUGGCCACAAAUUCUCCACUGCUCCUGCCUUUUGCUGACAGCACUUUCUGGAGUAAUAUGUCUGGUAGCUCAACUUUAAAGCCCACAAGAUUUGGCACACAUCAGGUCACACUUCCUUUGUGGUCUGUUCAUUAGUGUUCUCCAUGUCAGGAUGGGCAUAAGAAGAAAAGACACAACCUGUGACUGAGGUAUGCUAAGCCUUCAAUGCCUACUUGCUAUAAGCCAGAAUGCCCAUCCCUUGGUUUUAUAAGCAUCAGCUUAACUCACAACAUUAGGGGAAGGGAAAAAAAAAUUGCACCCUGAGGCAAAUUUUCUCAUUCAAGUUAAACAUUUUUCUCUUGAACAGAAGGGUCUGUAGAGGAAAUGCUGAUACAACCUUAACCUUGGCAGCACAGGCACUGAGGCUGUGUUAAUCAGUGUAAAGAGCAGAAUCUUUGAGCAUCAGUAAGGAUCCUUGAGAACCUUGCAUUGAGUGGUACAGAGAACAAAAAAAGACUUGCAACUCAACAAAAAAAGCUUAGAAAUUUCCCUUACUCUGCUGAGGUUCAAAGGCUUCUUUCUCUAUAUUUGAUAUGAAAGGAAUAAGAAAAUAAAAUGUCAUUAUCCACAGUCUUAAAGCUUAAGAUAAGUCCUGUCAGCACGCAAAUCUUGACAGCUUCAGGCCAGAAGAAA